CUGAAUCCGAUUAUACCACAAAGUUGCAUUCAUACGCCUUCUGCUGGUUCCUUUCCUGGCACGAGGGCACCCUGACAGACUGGGAAGGAACAUGACAUAUGUGACGAACCUUUCAGAAGUUCAAGCGUGCAGACGUGUGUGUGGGAAAGAUAUGGCCACUGCGUUUACAAGCUUUGACACCUGUCGUGUUGCCAUUGAACAGGGGUCAUUACCUCAACAGCCGUGAAAUGCCACAAAGUAUUUACUCUUUGGCAAUUACCCGGUGUUAAAUGCAAAUUAUUUAACCCAUUGAGUGCCUUUGUGUUGCCUGAUGUCUAAAAUCUAUUAAAGUGUUACAUCCAGAACUAGAACACACUCGUUUAAAAAUGA